AAACAAUGUUUUCUUGUCGAACACUUCAGUGUCAGAAGACGCUGCUGGUGGAUCAUUAUCUCCUGAACGCUUUCCUUCAUUCUCUGUGGAAAACUGAUAUGUUUUUUCUAUACCGAAGUCCUCCUGGAAAUAUCAGCAAUGUUGAGGUUAGGAGCUCAGCGCCAUGGAUUACUGUACUCAAUCUAUUUCAGAAUUUUGGUGUGAGUCAGUCAGUGUGGCAUUGAAGGAAAGGCUAUCCACUUGUGCCUCUUUUACAGUGGAUAAGAGAUGUAUUACAAACAACCUACACUGAUGCAAUGUGUCAGAUGGUCAGAUGUGUUAUGGAGUUCCAACGGAACAAACAUUUUAAAUUUUAACUGUCAACAGUUGCAGGUGUGCUACUAGUUAUUUUCGGAUUUCCAUCGGAUUUUCAGUGUACUGAGUGUGAUAGAAAUAUGCACACAUUGGCUCAGGAAGCAACGGAGAGAAGCAGGAAGCAGCCUCAGCCCUC